GAUCCUGGCUUAGGAUUAACGCUGGCGGCGUGCCUAAUACAUGCAAGUCGAAUGGUAGCAAUACCAUGGCGAACGGGUGAGUAACACGUAGGUAACCUGUCUUUAAGCCGAGGAUAACCAUUGGAAACGAUGGAUAAUACUGGAUAGGACAUUUGAAGGCAUCUUUAGAUGUUUAAAGAUUUAUCACUUAGAGAGGGGCCUGCGGCGCAUUAGCUAGUUGGUGAGGUGAAGGCUUACCAAGGCGAUGAUGCGUAGCCGGACUGAGAGGUUGAACGGCCACAAUGGAACUGAGAACGGUCCAUACUCCUACGGGAGGCAGCAGUAGGGAAUUUUCGGCAAUGGGCGGAAGCCUGAACCCGAGCAACGCCGCGUGAACGAAGAAGUAUUUCGGUAUGUAAAGUUCUUUUAUUAGGGACGAAAAGACAGAUUGACGGUACCUAAUGAAUAAGCUCCGGCUAACUACGUGCCAGCAGCAGC
rnacentral:rRNA from 1 species